UACCUCCCCAUCCGAGCACGCCCACAUCCCCGCCUCAAGGAAGCUCUUUACCAAGCCGUUCCAAACCACCGGGCGCGCGCCCUCCGACCUCGGCGCGGUCAACCUCACGGCCAUGGGCAGCGGUGGCAACUCUGCCGUAGUAGUCCGCUCGGCGGCACCCCGAGAGCCACCUGCUCCCCACGGUCAACAUCACCCGCGUCCUCAACGACGCGCCAGGCCCGGGGGUUGAACGUGGCCGCCUCCAUGCCCGAGGCCUCUGGCGUCGCGGAUGACUUCGAGACCGACGAGCGCGGCGCCGACGUCACCAUCUUCGUCCUCACGACCUCGCCCAUCGUGCUGCACUCCUACUACCCAGUUCCCAUUCAGCUCCUUCAAGCGCAUCGAGUGCACGCUCGCCAUCGAGUGAACAGAGCUUACCAAUCUUCAGCAACGAGGAUGGGCGACGGGGGUGUGCUGGCGGAGACGGCGUUGCUAGGUGACGCCGAUAGUAUAGUGAGUGGGUGCAAUUUAAUUCCUGUGUGCUAGCACGCCGGAGGAAUAUGUGCUGAGAUCUGCGGCGGGUUUGUGGACGAGGAAAUCCAGGCAGAUAAUGCGAUGCUCGUGGCAGGGGGGCUGGAAGGGGCGGCCCCUGAAAGAGGGGCAACUUGUCGUGUUGAAGAACAUGAGGAAAGUGCAGAUACAGUCAUACAGGGGCAGCGAUGUCCAUGGGGAAGAUGGACCCUCAUGCCCCUGGGUGGACGAGGAGGAUUGGAGUAGGGAGUCAUCCACCGGAUAGGGCCCCAUGUACAGAGAGGGUUUGUGCACUUGAUAAGACGAUCAGGGGUGCGCGGACAAGUUGGGGGAGGCCUACGUAGGAGAACAAUAAAUCUUGCCGCUGUGGAUGCCGAACACUGAUUCGAUUUUGCAGACAUCAGACACUGGGUAGCACAUUUCUAAGCACAGAGUCUCGCACAAUAAUUCUUUCAUUCAGACAUGUGGGUAGAAGGUUCAUUGGCCGUCGCACAAGCAGAUAGAUUAGUACACAAACGACUUGGUGAAACAGGCAAGGCAAAAAAUUCUUCGACUACGAAUUCUGGGCCAAAUUUCUUUUCCUCCAAUUAUUCGUUCCAGUUUGAUUAGUAUCAGAAGUGUUUCAUUAGCAUGAUUGUUUGUAAAUGAUCACCACCCUCCCUGUACUUUUGUUGUUGUCACUCCAUUAAUUAUUUCCCCAAACGAAUCAGGUGCCCUUUACUGAA